UCCUGUCUCUCUGUCUCUCUCUCUCUCUCUCUCUUUCUAUUUCUCUGCGAUUCGUCUCGCCGAUCACGCGUUCGCGAGAGAAAGAGGACGGAUCCUCGAAGAGAUCGCAGGAUCGCCGCGUCUUACCUCGGAGAGUCGAGCUCGGCGGACACGCGCGCGUGUUUCCGAGAAAAUCGGAAGAAAGAAGAAGCGGACCGCGGCGAGGCGCGAGUUCAGCGAAGCCGCCGAUCGGGGGAGUUCCGAUCCCGCGAGCGGCGCUCGCAGUUGCGUGCGAGACGCCGUCGAGGUGACUACGUGCGAGGUGACCCGAGCGAGGUAGCGUUUUUCACGAGGCGCUCUCGUGUACUCUUACAUGUUUACGGAGAACUGAUCCGAUCGCCUGUCGCACACAUACACACACGUAUACACGCACAAGUCCGCGAUUAUUAUAUUCGUUUGGCAGCAAACAUAAUAAACGCGCGCGCGAACACACCGGUGACUUAAUCUUCUCGCAUCGAAACUCCUCGGUGUGCCCUGUGGACGAUUCACACUCAUCACUCGGCGACAACUUGGAUAAAGCAGUGACGCAACCGCUCCUGUUCGCAAAGGAAGGAAAAGUUCGCGAUGACGGUGUAACGGCGCGGUUUCCAAGUCAAGCCUCACCUUGCCGUCUCAGCUAACGUCAUCUCUCUCUUUCUCUCUCACACCCGGUCUCGUCUCGUCGCUACUGACGCGUGUGUGCGUACGCGCGCGAUACCGCAAACGAACGGACGUACGAUGGUGUGCGUGAGAUCGCGCGUGCUGAUCGUUCACGGACUCGGCAGCAGCCUGUAGCAAACUGGUGGUGGUGGUGGUGGUGGUGGUGGUGGUAGUAGUGGUAUUCGUACAAAAGAAGACAGAGGAAAAGGGACCUGCUUUCUCGUCGCCGAAACGUUCCGACUGCACAAUGCAGCCCUUCAAAAAUUUAUCAAGGCGACGGAUCAUCAGCGAGAUAGGUGAGUAA
rnacentral:lncRNA from 1 species